UGAUAUUUUAUAGUUACAAAAUCAAUAUUUGAGAAAUUUCAAUUCAAUACUCGCAUCAAUUCUCGAAAUAAAAUAAAGACUAUUAAAAAUAUGAGUGAUUAAAGUAUUUGUAUACGUUCGAAGCUUCGUUCUCCUACAUUUAUCUACAGCAAAGAACCACUUAACAUAUCUAUUCUGGAUUAGCUCUAAUACCAAUGACCAACUGCGUAACAAAUGGUGAACAAAAGUUAAAAAGUGACGUUUGCUGUUGUGGGCAACAAUCCACUUUAAAACACACACACACAUCUUCUAGGGAUUCCCUCAAGUCUCUAAAUCAAAACACAUCAACAAGAGCUGAGGUGAAAAUCAGAUAAAGAUAACCAAGAGCAGUGGCGCUAACAGGAUCAUAAAUUUAACGAUAUAAAUCUUCGAGGACAAGUAACAACAACAAGAAGAAAAAAGACGCUGACGACUCACUUCAUCAUAAAUUCACCUGUCGUUGCGAGUUCAUCCAGGACCGGACCUGCUUCCGUUGCCUAACCUUUUGCCUUGUGUCCUGUCCUGUUUGGUUGAAUGGUGGGAAAAGCGUUUGAAAAUUUAUGAAUUUCGGUUGUGUGGCAAGUGCGCGAAUAUUUCGUGGAAUUCUCUUUUAACCCAGCCCUAGUGCAGGGGCAAAGGCAAAGGCAAAGGCAUGGACAUGGACAGGGGCGUGGCAUCGCAUGGCUGGCGCGUCACUCGAAUUGAAAUUUCAUUAGUUUUACGAUACGCGACCAUAAAGAAAUAUCAACGAGGAUGGGCACGCACCUUAACGUCACAGACAGGGACUUGGACAUUGCCGUUGCUGUUGCCGUUUUACGACCCUUCGCUGGAAGGCCGCAGCGUCAGCAAAGAUAUUCGUAUAGAGAGAG